rnacentral:rRNA from 1 species
AGAGUUUGAUCCUGGCUCAGGAUGAACGCUAGCGGCAGGCCUAAUACAUGCAAGUCGAACGCUCAGUAGCAAUACUGGGAGUGGCGCACGGGUGCGUAACGCGUACACAAUCUACCUCUAAGCGGGGGACACCUCCUGGAAACGGGGAUUAAUACCGCAUAAUAUGCCGAAGUCGCAUGACUUUGGUAUUAAAGCAGCAAUGCACUUAGAGAUGAGUGUGCGUCCCAUUAGGUAGUUGGUGGGGUAACGGCUCACCAAGCCUAUGAUGGGUAGCCGGUCUGAGAGGAUGGUCGGCCACACGGGCACUGAGACACGGGCCCGACUCCUACGGGAGGCAGCAGUAAGGAAUAUUGGUCAAUGGUGGAAACACUGAACCAGCCAUGCCGCGUGGAGGAAUAAGGCCCUACGGAUUGUAAACUCCUUUUGACGAGGAAGAAAAUGUUAGAUUUAUCCAAUUUUGACGGUACUCGUAGAAUAAGCACCGGCUAACUCCGUG